rnacentral:rRNA from 1 species
UACGUAGGGCGCAAGCGUUGUCCGGAAUUAUUGGGCGUAAAGAGCUCGUAGGCGGCUUGUCGCGUCGACUGUGAAAACUCGGGGCUCAACUCCGAGCUUGCAGUCGAUACGGGCAGGCUAGAGUUCGGUAGGGGAGACUGGAAUUCCUGGUGUAGCGGUGAAAUGCGCAGAUAUCAGGAGGAACACCGAUGGCGAAGGCAGGUCUCUGGGCCGAUACUGACGCUGAGGAGCGAAAGCGUGGGGAGCGAACAGG